GGAUGUGAGGGUGAUCUGACUGCAACAUCUGUCACCCCAUUGAUCGCCAGAGUUGAUUCGGCUGAUCUGGCUGGCUAGGGGGGUGUCCCCUUCCUCCCUCACCGCUCCAUGUGCAUCCCUCCCAAAGCUGCACACUCGGUGGAAGAGGACGACCAUCCCAGAUAGGAGUGUACCGAUCUUCCGUCAAGGGUAUACGAUAGCUGCACUCCCCUGCUAGAACCUCCAAACAAGCUCAAGAGGGAGCAUUAGAAACCAUUAAAAACAUAUGAAGAUUAUCUCCUAGAUGCAUCU
rnacentral:snRNA from 1 species